CCACCUAUACUUUGCAUAUUGUCAUUGCCUUAUGGUGAGGCUUGCCUGUUAAGUUGAAUUAGAAACUUAAACUACAGAAGCAAAGACAGCUUACAGCUUAGAGGCUCAGUACAGUACAGGACUGAAGUGCUGAAGCUUUCUGACCUCUGAAGAUCUGUAACUUCAGCAUCUCAUGAUCACUGCAGCUAAUUCUGGUUGUGGCCAAGGAGAGCAUGACUUUUAUGUGAACUCUUCUAGGUGUUCAUCUGAAACAUUAAAUCCUGUGGCAUCCUACAGCACAGCAGCAGAGGGGAGAAAUGUCAGCCCUUCUCUUAUUUUGAACCUCUAGAAGCACUUACCUGCAGCUUCUGGGCAGUUUUGUUCUAGAGUGUCUUAACCUUGGAUUCACCUGCAUUUGUGAAGAAGCAAGAAGGUCACUCAGACCUGAGUUAAUUCUCUACUUCUACAAAGCAGGCAGUGUGAUGGAAGUCAUAAAAUAUUUAUGCCUUUUAGGAAAUAGUAGUAUUGGAGUAUUUUAUAUUUAACUGACACAUUGUAAUAUAAACAAAUCCUACAUUUUGACUGAAUGCAUUUAAGAAUGUGAAAUAUUUAAAUUUAAAUACCCAGAAAAUGAUGGUUCUGUUUCUGUACUCUUAGAGAAAAGUGAUAUUUGAUUUGAGAAGAUUUGUCUGAGUAACUCAAUGCUAAUCACCUUCAUUAAUGCUGUACUUGGUGGUUUUUAUAAAGUAUUUAUGUAAACCUUUGUAUUAAACAAGAAAAUGCAAAACAAAAUCUUGAAAUAGUUCUUCCAGAAGGAGUGUGUAGCACAUGUUCUUUAAAAUACAAUUGUUUUGCCUUCAGCAUUUAACUUUGUUUCAACUAUAAACAGGAGGCAAGUGUCAAUUAUGGUAUUGUUAAUUUAUCCAAUUGACUUAUGAAAUUAUUUAUAGAAAAAUGUCUUUCAUCUUUUUCAAAGAUACCUGGUAAUGUCAGUGACCCAAGCAUUCUGACUGCAAAUUUCAUUGGUGCUGGAAAAACUACAUUGAUAUGAAAGAGGAAAAAAUGAUCUUUACUAUACUGAUUAUAUAUGACAGCUGCUUCAAAAGUAAUACUUCCUAUUUUAUUAUGUUAUCCCACAACAUCAGAGGCAGAUUUUGGUGGUGUGGCAGUAGAGGUGGAAUCUUUCCUGACAAUAUUCCAUCACAUCUUGUUGCCUGUGUGACAAAUGGCAGCAGAAGGAACAGACUGACACAGUGGUGUCUGACAUAGAAUUGAGUAUGAAGCAAAGAUGUGUCACUGAACUCCUCCACGAGGAAAAAAUUGUAUCUGUUGACAUUCACUGGUGCUUGCUAAACAUUUAUGGAGGCUAAAUGGUGGAUAUGAGGACAGUGAGGCUGUGGGCGGUGCAUUUCAGCAGUGGUGACAGUAACAUGAAAAUAAGCCACGUUCUGGACAGCCAUGAAUGGGACAUGCAAGCUCUUGUUCAUAUCUGGCAAAAAUGCACAGCUAAUGGUGGUGACUAUGUUGAAAAAUAGUAUUUUGUAGCUGAGAAGUUGCUCUAUCAAACAGUUUUAUUGUGCUAUUUAUAUCUGUUUUAAUUUCCAUUUAAAUAAAUAUGAGGUAUUCCUUUCAGAGGAACCUAAGGAAGUACCAUGCACCAAACAUGUUUGGAAAAAUGAUUAUUCCUUUUCCUUUAUUUAGUGGUGGUUCUCUUCAUGAAAAAGUUAAUCACAUGUUAAAGAACAGCUUGUGACUAGUCUAGAAAUACCAGACAAAACUGGACUAUGAACAGGAAAUUCUUGUAUUCCCAUUAUAAACUCAGGACAACUUUUUUUGCCUUUCUUGUGCAGUCCCUAGAACCACUUCCUUUCUACUAACAAGCUAUCUAAAAGAAUUGGAAAAUAAAGAUUAGCUGGCAAUUACACUUUUUAAAUAAUAUUAAUAUUUAUUAAUGUUUCUUUUUGCUGACCAAAACUUAUCAAAAUACAGAAAUGGAAAUGAAAGAUUCUAAAAUACAGAGCUGAAAUUCAUAAGGAGAACUAAGAUUCAGUUACACUACCCAAAGCACUCCUACCACAGUUUGAAAUUCAGAGUAGUUUACAAGUUGAUAAUAUUGCAAAAAUGAUAAAUUUCUUACAUUAUACAUGGUACAUAAGUCACUCCAAAAGCAAUACCUCCUGUUUAUUUCUAUAGAAACUGCAACAGAUGCAGAACGCAGUAACACUAUUUGAUAGAGAAAAUUCUUGUCUAUAGAACACUAUUUUUGAGCAUAGUCACCAUCAUUAGUUGUGCAUAUUUAGCAGCCAUGAACAAAAACCUGUGUCAAAGAAUCUCAAUGGGUGCAUUUUUUUCCUCGUGGAGGAAUUCAGUGACGUAUCUUUGCUUUGUACUCACUUCCACACCAGACACCAUUGUGUCAGUCUGUCCUUCUGCUGCCAUCUGUCACACAGCAACAAAAUGUGAUGGAAUGUUGUCAGGGAAGGUUCAAUCUCUACUGCCAUAUCAUCACCAUCUACCUCCAACAUUAUGGGCUAACAUAAUACAAUGGAAGGCAUUAUUUUUGGAACAGCCCCUGCAGUUAAUGCCUAUAUUAAUUUGAUGUAUUUAUUCAGGCUCAGAUUUGGAGUUUCAAUUGAUAAAGUAUUUUCCACAGAAGUUAUAAUUUGGCACUAAGUUUAUAGAAUGUUAAUUAUAUUACAGUAAUUAAUUCUGCGUCACUUAGAGACACAGGCCCUGAAGUAUGUGCCAGCAUAACAACACAUGUACUUGAGUUCUUUUUUUUAUGCUUUGGCAGAAGUCAGUUCUGCUUUAGAAACUUCUACAACAACUGCCUAUGUGGUGUGCUUUUAUGCUCUUAAGUCAGCUUGUCUAUGAUUUUUUUAGUAUUUAUUUAUUUAUAAGUCUGUUUAUAUCAAAACUUUUUUUUCCCCAUUCCUCUUUAUUUUAGGGAAGCUUCAGGUGGCCCCUUUGAAAGUGAGACUUCCUGAAGGCUUCAUAGUGCUUUUUUGAUACCCCUCAGCAAAAAGCUGCAUCUUUGCAUGGUCUCAGGAGAGAAUCUUUACAAUGCAGUAAAGUUCAGCAAAGCUUCUCCAGGGUGUGAGAGUUCACUGAUGGAGCUGGCAACUCUGUGCCUCCAGAAUGUUGUUCUUGUUAUGUAUUCAGUGUUUAAUCAGUUAAGCUACCUGGUACGUGUAACUAUCUGCUCUCAUGGUUCACUUAGCCUCCAGAUACUCUGCUGGUUUUCCUCGUGUUUCUGAAAGACCUUGGCACAGAUAUCUUUCAAGAUAGCACCCUCACCCACAGAGAUGCAUACAUUCUAUUUUCUCGUGACUCUGAUUACGAGACUACGUAAUCUCUGUGUGUUACCUUUUUAGAGCACUUCUGUCCUGUGU